rnacentral:lncRNA from 1 species
CCCCGGGCCACCCCUUCCCCAGGGCCAACCCCUCGGAGAACUCUGCGACAACCCGCGACCCGCACGCGAACCCCUCCCCAUCGCACCCCGCGGCUCCUAGCGAACCCUCCUCCUCCAAGCGCGGCACCUCCGUCUUGUUCCCGGAGCCUGCCUCCUCCCUCCCUCUCACCAUGGUAGGAGGCAAGGACCUGCACAACCACAGCUGUGUGACCACAGGCCAGACGACUCACCCUUUGAACCCUGGCUCCCCUGCUGCCCUGUGAGGGGGAUAAUAACCUUGGCUGGGCCAUGGCCCAGGCUGUGG